UAGGGAAUAUUGGACAAUGGGUGAGAGCCUGAUCCAGCCAUGCCGCGUGCAGGAAGAAGGCGUUAUGCGUUGUAAACUGCUUUUUGCCAGGGGAUAAAAAGACCGUGCGCGGUUAAUUGAAGGUACCUGGUGAAUAAGCCACGGCUAACUACGUGCCAGCAGCCGCGGUAAUACGUGGGUGGCAAGCGUUGUCCGGAUUUAUUGGGUUUAAAGGGUGCGUAGGUGGCCCUGUAAGUCAGUGGUGAAAUAUCUCAGCUUAACUGAGAGGGUGCCAUUGAUACUGCAGGGCUUGAGUACAGAUGAGGUAGGCGGAAUUGACGGUGUAGCGGUGAAAUGCAUAGAUAUCGUCAAGAACACCGAUAGCGAAGGCAGCUUACCAAGCUGUAACUGACACUGAGGCACGAAAGUGUGGGGAUCAAACAGGAUUAGAUACCCACGUAGUCCCUGAGCGGGCUGGCAAGGCGCAU
rnacentral:rRNA from 1 species